rnacentral:lncRNA from 1 species
AAAGAUGGAGUCUUAGGAGCAAAGAGUAUCUUCCCUUUUAUCUGAGAUAAAAUCUGUCUCAGGUUCUGCAAUUAAGUGCUCAGCUCCACCUGCUCCUUCUGCCUUUUCCUGCAUCCUGACCACUUCAUUUAAAGCUCAUGAUUCCCAGCAGUCUGCCUCCUUCUGUGCCCCAUUAAAACUGAAAGAGAAGUCAGCAGACAACUGAGGGAUACAAUGACCAGCUGAGAGUUUUUCUUUCUUCUUUAUGAUGUUUUCUUACUUCUGUUGCAGUUGUUGGUUAUGGUGACUUUGUUGUUGUUGUUGUUGUUUUUAGCCAUGUUUCAAUAUCAGUUACUAAAUGCAGAGCAGAUGGCCCACAGGUAACGUGUAGUUUCCUUUAAUGACCGUCCCCUGGCUUUAUAAAGAGGGAGUCACUUCUUGAUUAGGAAAUUGCCAUUUUGAAAAGUGACCAUAAUCAUUGGAGCUUUGUGGUGGCAGCUCUCCCUGCUGUUAGCAGAGACAUGUAAUGACAGCAACACUGCUGGGAUGAAAAGGGAAAUUUCUUCACAGAGCCCUAAUCCUCCAUCCUUUCAAGAAUAUAUUAUAGGACACACUCAGAGACAGGGCACAACACUAGUGGGAACUUAGGGCUGAUUCAAAACAAUAAUUUCUGUCAGUCCAUAAUAGAGAUGAUCCCCAAAUUUUCUGCUAUUCAGACACUUCUGUACUGUAUUCAGUAGAAUGGGUUGAGGCAAAAUAGAAAAGAAAGUGUUCAAAAUGUUUCAAAAUGUUAAAAAAAAAAAAAAAGUGAAUGCAAUUUUCUAACUAUUUUCUACUCUGCAGCGUUGAACUGCUUUUCUUCAGCCCUGCCAAACUGAAAUUCGAAAUAAAUUAUCAUGAUAGUUAUUUCUUUAUCUUAAAUCUACAAUAGAAAAAAAAAAAAGUAGCAUCUUAAGACUUAAAGAGAGACUUCUCAGUCACAUUUCCCAGUUAGGUUGACUGCUUCUGAAAUAGAUCUGAACUUUACACUAAACUUUUUUUACAAUUCAAUUGUGAAGAAGCUGCAAAUGAACUGUUGUUUGAAUACACCUAGAGGGCAGUUGCACGUAUACAUAUAUAUAUAUAUGUAUAUAUAUAUGUUAUCAUUCUGCUCAAUAAUCACUUGUGUAGGAGCUGUUAAUCAACUCCAUGCAGAUAGCAAAAAUAUGUAGUAUCUGUGUGGUCUUAUUUACAUUGCACGCAAACAACUUAUAAUAGCAUUAUUAUGAAUGUCUAGAAGACUCAGCAGCCAAAAAAAUCAGUGCAAUCUAAAAAAAAUCC